rnacentral:lncRNA from 10 species
ACUUUAAAAUAAUUUUUAUUUCAGAAUAACUUGAGAAUUUUCCAAUAUCUCCAGAGAUCAUUGGAGGCACCCUAGGGGGUCAUAUAAUCUUGCCUAGGUAAAGCUGCCCUAGAAAAAAGAGUAUUUUAAUAACCAAAGUCGAUUCCUCUUAGGAAGAAUUCCCUUUGUGUUCUAUAACCUAGCUUUAAAUCCAAAGUCCUCAUCUUUGAACAAUCAGAGCAAUAUGAUGUAGCCCAGGAGAGUCAGAAGUUGAAUUCCAUUCAGAGAAAUGUGCAACUCGGAGACAUGAAACUGCACCGCAUUUGCACUGGCUAAGUCUUUCAGGGAUAAAACAAUAGUCCCCACUUGUUGGGUGCAACACAUAUCGUCUAGUUUUCUCAAUCCUCAAAGGUAAAUAUUAAUGCCUCCAUUUUACAGAUAGCAAAACUCAGGCUUAGAGAGCCCUGUAGCCAUCUCAAAGUCCAACAGCCAGUUGAAAGAGAGGUGGAAUUAAACGUAAAUUCUUUUGGUUCUAGCAAAAGCCCCUAUCAGUAUCUCACCGUCUUUCUUGGGAUGAUGAACUGUCUUGCUGGAAACCCCCUUAAGAGCCAGUUUUGAAAUUGUUUUGAAGUCCCCCUGACCUCUGUCUCCAGAAAGCAUUUAUUCUUUGGUGUACUUACUAUAUUGGCAACUUAUGUUAAUAAUUUUUAAAGCCAUGACCCACUGUGAGGUGCUAAACAUUUCUUCUGGCUAGAACUUCUCCGACAGCAUAUAUAAAGCUUCUCACAAGUUAACAGCAAGCUUCCUUCAUUUGGUUUUAAUGACUUUGUAAAAUAAAUACCCAAGAUUGUUACUAAAAAAUAAAAUAAAGUGUUUCAGUGGGAGAAUAUAGAAGAUAUAAAUUUAACUUAAUAUAAUUCCCUUACUCCUUGUCAAGGGUGAACAUGUGACGAGAAAUUUUUAGAA